AUUAAAAAAUCUAAUUCAAUCGAAUUGCAUCGGCUUACAAAUCUCUAAACUAAUAUCUCACUAUUUACUAGGUUGACUGAUUGAUCUUUAUUCAAUUCAAACAACCAUAUUAUUUGGGAACAAGAGAAAAACUUUUAAGACUAUAAAUUAAAUAAUCCAAUUGGUUAAUUGAGAAAAUAAACCAUAAAUCAGAACUUGUAACAGGCAUAAGCACCACCAAAUAUUGUCUAAGAUCAAAAGAGGCAAAGAAGAAACUAAAAAUACCAAAUUACAGAGAAAACUAAUCCAAAUAAAAUUCAAUAUACUGUAAUAAUAAACCAGGAGAUGAAACUAGGAACAAAAAUAGAGAUUAUUAUACAGCUUUUGUGGUUCUGCCUGGCUUCACCCUGUGUGCCAUGUAUGUAAACUGUAUAGUAUUAAAAAACAACUAGACAUACGCUGUAUUUCACCGUAUGGCUAUGCUCCACUGAACCCGGCCUCGGUGCCGCGCGCCAAGUCGCCUACGCCGGCAGGAAUUUGGAGACAGAAUAUUUUCAUCAGUUGCCAUCCAAAAAGAAAGGCAUCAAAGCUAUAUGCUUCUUUUAUACUCCACUUUCUCUCUUCUCCUUUAUACACUUUU
rnacentral:lncRNA from 1 species